UUGAACGCUGGCGGCAUGCCUUACACAUGCAAGUCGAACGGCAGCGCGGGAGCAAUCCUGGCGGCGAGUGGGCGAACGGGUGAGUAACAUAUCGGAAACGUGCCCUGGAGUGGGGGGAUAACCAGUCGAAAGACUGGCUAAUACCGCAUACGACCUGAGGGUGAAAGUGGGGGGAUCGCAAGACCUCAUGCUCGUGGAGCGGCCGAUAUCUGAUUAGCUAGUUGGCGGGGGUAAAGGCCCACCAAGGCGACGAUCAGUAGCUGGUCUGAGAGGGACGACCAGCCACACUGGGACUGAGACACGGCCCAGACUCCUACGGGAGGCAGCAGUGGGGAAUUUUGGACAAUGGGGGCAACCCUGAUCCAGCAAUGCCGCGUGAGUGAAGAAGGCCUUCGGGUUGUAAAGCUCUUUUGUCCGGAAAGAAAUCGCUUUGGUUAAUACCUGAAGUGGAUGACGGUACCGGAAGAAUCAGCACCGGCUAACUACGUGCCAGCAGCCGCGGUAAUACGUAGGGUGCAAGCGUUAAUCGGAAUUACUGGGCGUAAAAGCGUGCGCAGGCGGUUGGCGCAAGACAGAGGUGAAAUCCCCGGGCUUAACCUGGGAACGGCCUUUGUGGACUGCAUGGCUUAGAGUGUGUCAGAGGGGGGUAGAAUUCCACGUUGUAGCAGUGAAAUGCGUAGAGAUGUGGAGGAAUACCGAUGGCGAAGGCAGCCCCCUGGGAUAACACUGACGCUCAUGCACGAAAGCCUGGGGAGCAAACAGGAUUAGAUACCCUGGUAGUCCACGCCCUAAACGAUGUCCAACUAGUUGUCGGGGAAUUAAUUUCCUUGGUAACGCAGCUAACGCGUGAAGUUGACCGCCUGGGGAGUACGGUCGCAAGAUUUAAAACUCAAAGGAAUUGACGGGGACCCCGCACAAGCGGUGGAUGAUGUGGAUUAAUUCGAUGCAACGCGAAAAAACCUUACCUACCCUUGACAUGGUCGGAACCCUGGAGAGAUCUGGGGGUGCUCGAAAAGAGAACCGAUACACAGGUGCUGCAUGGCUGUCGUCAGCUCGUGUCGUUGAGAUGUUGGGUUAAGUCCCGCAACGAGCGCAACCCUUGUCAUUAGUUGCUACGAAAGGGCACUCUAAUGAGAACUGCCGGUGACAAAACCGGAGGAAGGUGGGGAUGACGUCGAGUCCUCAUGGCCCUUAUGGGUAGGGCUUCACACGUCAUACAAUGGUGCAUACAGAGGGCUGCCAACCCGCGAGGGGGAGCUAAUCCCAGAAAAGUGCAUCGUAAGUCCGGAUUGCAGUCUGCAACUCGACUGCAUGAAGUUGGAAUCGCUAGUAAUCGCGGAUCAGCAUGUGUCGCGGUGAAUAACGUUUCCCGGGUCUUGUACACACCGCCCGUCACACCAUGGGAGCGGGUUUUACCAGAAGUGGGUAGCCUAACCGCAAGGAGGGCGCUUACCACGGUAGGAUUCGUGACUGGGGUG
rnacentral:rRNA from 1 species